rnacentral:misc_RNA from 1 species
UCGAGUUUUGAAAGGGGUUGUAGGCUGGCCUUCCGAGGCAUGUGCACGCCCCGCUCAAUCCACUCUACACCUGUGCACUUACUGUAGGUUUCAGACGGUGAAGCCGAGCCCUUUUAUAUGGGCUUGUGGAAACGUCUGGGCCUGCGUUUAUUACAAACUCUGUAAAGUAUUAGAAUGUGUAUUGCGAUGUAACGCAUUUAUAUA